GACGAACGCUGGCGGCGUGCCUAAUACAUGCAAGUAGAACGCACAGUUUAUACCGUAGCUUGCUACACCAUAGACUGUGAGUUGCGAACGGGUGAGUAACGCGUAGGUAACCUGCCCGGUAGCGGGGGAUAACUAUUGGAAACGAUAGCUAAUACCGCAUAAUAUUAAUUAUUGCAUGAUAAUUAAUUGAAAGGUGCAAUUGCACCACUACCAGAUGGACCUGCGUUGUAUUAGCUAGUAGGUGAGGUAACGGCUCACCUAGGCGACGAUACAUAGCCGACCUGAGAGGGUGAUCGGCCACACUGGGACUGAGACACGGCCCAGACUCCUACGGGAGGCAGCAGUAGGGAAUCUUCGGCAAUGGACGAAAGUCUGACCGAGCAACGCCGCGUGAGUGAAGAAGGUUUUCGGAUCGUAAAGCUCUGUUGUAAGAGAAGAACGGGUGUGAGAGUGGAAAGUUCACACUGUGACGGUAUCUGACCAGAAAGGGACGGCUAACUACGUG
rnacentral:rRNA from 1 species